AUUGAACGCUGGCGGCAGGCCUAACACAUGCAAGUCGAGCGGUAGAAGGGAGCUUGCUUCCUUUGAGAGCGGCGGACGGGUGAGUAAUGCCUAGGAAUCUGCCUGGUAGUGGGGGAUAACGUUCGGAAACGGACGCUAAUACCGCAUACGUCCUACGGGAGAAAGUGGGGGAUCUUCGGACCUCACGCUAUCAGAUGAGUCUAGGUCGGAUUAGCUAGUUGGUGAGGUAAUGGCUCACCAAGGCGACGAUCCGUAACUGGUCUGAGAGGAUGAUCAGUCACACUGGAACUGAGACACGGUCCAGACUCCUACGGGAGGCAGCAGUGGGGAAUAUUGGACAAUGGGCGCAAGCCUGAUCCAGCCAUGCCGCGUGUGUGAAGAAGGUCUUCGGAUUGUAAAGCACUUUAAGUGGGGAGGAAGGCCUGAUGGCUAAUAUCCAUCGGGAUUGACGUUACCCGCAGAAUAAGCACCGGCAAACUUCGUGCCAGCAGCCG
rnacentral:rRNA from 1 species